rnacentral:tRNA from 1 species
GAUUCAAUGGUCUAGUGGUUAUGAUUUGUGUCUCACACACACAAGGUCUCCAGUUCGAUCCUGGGUUGAAUCA